rnacentral:sRNA from 1 species
UUCACCAUAAGUCAUUAAAGUGAAGGGAGCAGUAUGAAUACUACCUUAAUAGUAUGUUUAUUUGGAGUAUUUUUGAUAACGAAUGGACAAGAAUCAACAAAGUUUUAUGAGCCUUGUGAGAAGGAUUUUAAACGAUUCCCAAUCACAUUGUAAUAAGGAAGAAAAAAUGGACGAUCAAUAUUUGACUACAACAAUACCAAAUCUUUAUUUAGAGGUAACAAACAUCACAAACAAUCGUUUCAAUAGAUCAAGCUUAAGCGGUCAUUAUAGAUACUUCUUGGGACGAAAGGUCAGAAUCGAUAGGAGACGAAGAACAUAAUAUCAAAAAUAAAAUGUAAAAAAAUUGCUCCAUGGAUGUACAUGGAAUUAUCAUUAGAGAUAUUAACUUUAACGCUCUUAAGAAUUGCUAUCUUGUGUGGAAAGAAUUACUCUCGCUCUUUUGGUCUUAAGUAAAUGCGUAUUUAAUAUAAUUAUCAGUGGAAAUUUGCGAUUCAAGUUAUUCAGAACAUAAUGAGGAGCUUCAUGGUGCUGAUUUUCUUAAGCGGAUUGUUGCUAAUCACUAGACAGGAAAUAGAAAUGGUACACUGUAAACAUCGGAAUGUACAUCAUAGGAAAUCAUUAAAGAUAAAAUACGAAAAAACUUCAGUGCUACCAUUUGAAGAAAUAAGUUCUAAUAGCGAAAUAGAUCAGACUCACCCACUACCACUAAUUUUUACUGGAAGAGUGGUUAGAAAUCACAGAGGAAGGCGC